GCACAGGUAAUAAUAAUUUCUUAAUUUGUAAGUUGCUUGCUUUUAAAAUUUCAUUUUCGUUACAGUGUAUGUGUGCUAUUUGCUUGGGUACUGUGACAGGGGCAAGCCAUCUUUACAGCCGAGUGCUCCCAUUUCUUCCACUUCAGCUGCAUUGGCAACAGUGUGUCACAUGGCUAUUACAAUUGCCCUAUUUGCCGUGCCAAAUGGAAUUGUCUCCCUUUCACCAAGCCCAAAUCCGACGCUAACAUUCCUCUCCCACAAUUCCCUACUUCCUUCUCCAAUGUAUCUCAACAAUCGGUGCUGCCACCGCCUCCAUCUGAGCGUGAGUCCCUUGUUUUUUCUGAUGAUGAACCCUUACACACAAUCGCUGCUGAUCCUACAUCUUCUGCUUCACUUACUGGUCUGCAAAGUGUCAAUAUUGUGAGAAGAAGAGAAGCUGAAGAAGCUGGAGGAGGAAGAGAGAAAGGGGGCUGGUUCUGCCGGGGUGCCGGGGCGCCCCGAUAGGUAUAUAAAUUGCCAAUUUUUCCCUCCUUCAUUACAAUACAAGACCUAGGCUCGAAAAUUAGAGAGAAAGAAGAGAGAACUUGGUGAGAAUUUUACAAGUUGAAGGUUGUUCAUCUUGGGUAUAAAUUCAAAAUUAUUUUCUUUCUUGGGGAUUAACUUGAGGCUUGUUCAAGUAAUCCAAAUACAUUGAUCUUCAUAUAUUCCAUUGAAAUCAUUUCUUCCUCAUUUUCUUGUUCUUGAAGUGGUUUGGAAAUUUUUCACAUUGUCAACUUUGUUUGACCUUUGGGCUAUCUUUGGGAGAUGUUUUCCCAACAAUUUGGUAUCAGAGCUACAUCCUAAAUCAAGGUGGUUAAACUUCGAUUUUGUGGUGAGUUGCUUGAACUUUGUUGUGCACAAGGUGUUUGUGAAAAUUCCCAAGUGAACUUUGGUGAUUUAUUUUCAAUAAACAAGUGGAUAAAUCAUGUCUACUAGAGGAAUGGUGAAGAUUGGGAAGUAUGAGAUAGAAAAAUUUAAUGGGAAGAAUGAUUUUUCAUAUUGGAGAAUGCAAAUGAAAAAUUUGUUGAUUUCUCAAAAGUUGCACAAGGCAUUGGCGGGAAAGGAGAAGAAGCACGUUGAUAUGUCGGACGAGGAUUGGGAAGAGCUAGAUCUUGAGGCACGAGCGUCUAUCAUUCUUUGCCUUGAAAGA
rnacentral:lncRNA from 1 species